CACAGAAACUGCUAUACACAUAGCCAAACUUCUAACGGCUGCGAAGUUUGAUGUGAAAGAAUUAUCAAAGUCCUCAACUAUAAUUGAAUGUGAAGGAAUUGGACUUGAAAAUGAGCAAUUGUGACUGUCUUAUUCGUUGUUACAAAACAUCUUUCACAGUAAUUUAUCUGUGACAAAAUCUUUCUUUUUUGGUAAGGGGCUUUGCUUGUGUAUUUGACAUCCAUGGUUAGGAUGUUAAUGCAGGCCAUGGAAGUCUUUGUGCUUAGAACACAAGUAUGUUAAUAUUUAUUUCAUUAGCAAUCCGAUUUAGUAAAACCGUUUGGAAUGUUAUGCUUGAAUGGAACAAAUGCUGUUGUGUUGUCUACAAUCUACCUGUUACCUACAUGUAUACCACACUGCAGGUAAACCAAACUGCUGCGGAGUUUAUAAUCUACCUGUUACCUACAUGUAUACUACACUGCAGGUAAACAAGACUGCUGCUAUAGACUUUUAUAAUGCAUCAAUUUUAGAUAAAAGCAAAACUAGAAAUGAUUGAAGACUAAUACAUAAGCAACAAAAUGUACAAUUGAAAAGUUCUGUAUAGCAAAGGUAAACACAAAACAAUAUACCACAGCCUCAAUACUCAUAAGAAACACCAUGUCUGAAUAGAAAACGACAAGACACCUUACCAAAAGUCGAAGAACACUGUAAAAAAGCGAAGGUUAAACAAUGCGUUCAAGAAUUGCAAAUAUUUACUUUAACGCCAGUCAUUGAGAACAUUUAGAAAUGAUUGACGCUUUACUUGGAGCAAACUUGGAGGAAAAAACAUCGAUCUUGAGCGUCCAAUACAAAGUUUGGGUUAUAAUGUGUGUGUGUAUACAAAAUAUCGUACUUUAUCAGACACACGAAACAUUCUAUUUUUGGCCUUAAAUUGUUCACUUUAACCCUUUUCAGACCCUUUCUAGUACCAUUACCUUGGCAAUGCACGUUGACAUGUUUUGGAAAUCUAGUGCAUAUCUUGUAUGUUAUAUGUAAUGUUUAUAUCUAAUGAUAGAUAAAGGUUGACAUAAUAUGUUUAUCUGUAUUGACAUUAUAUUUAUUGCAAUGAAUAAAUCACGUAAUGAAUUCAA